GUGCUCACUUUGGCAGCACUAAAAUUUGACCUGAUACAGAAAAUAUUGCCCCUGAGCAAGAAUGGCAUGCAAAUUUGUGAAGUGUUCCGUAUUUUA
rnacentral:snRNA from 1 species